GAGCUUAUUUUUCAGUGCACAAUACUUUGUUUUCCUGGUCAGAAUAACAAAGUGCACUAAUAUGGAAUACUCCAAAGGUCCCUAUAGACAACACGUAUAUCCGAUCAUAAAGUGCACUAAUUUCGAAUACUCCAAAGAUCCCUAUAGACAACACGUAUAUCCGAUCUUCACAACACUUUAUAUGUGAACCGUAGGAACCGAGUUCCAAAAGCAAGCUUCCAGGAAACAUUCUGGAGCAUCAAGACACAUCAAAUUAUUGUCAAGACACAAACUACUAUAGAAUC
rnacentral:lncRNA from 1 species